AUUAAAUUUACUCAUUUAGUUGAUGCAUUUCUCCAAAUUGACUUAUAAUGUUACAUUACUUACAGUUAUUUACCCAUUUAUACAACUGGAUAAUUUUUAGUGGAGGAAUUGAAAGUGAGUUGCUUGUGAGUACUUGAUCAAUGGUACUACAGAUGUAGAGGGCUUGGGAUUGAAGCCUGCCACCUUUGGGUUUAAAGGCAGCAGCUCUAACCACUACACUACCAGCCGCCCCUCCUUAGGCUUGAAUUUCUUUAAAUUGGCGAGUCCAGUGGGCAUUUGGAUCAGCUGAAUGCAAUGUGCUGGUUUUGUGCUUUCAGCAGAAACACUGUUGUAUCGGAAGACACCCAACUGUCCUACAGCUGUCAUCGUCAAAGAGGGCGGCGUGUGAGUGCUUAAGAAACUCCCAUUGACAAGGCCCUGUCCCUCCGUGCUGCGCUGCACUGCCACGGCUCUGACUCUUGAAUGCUGAUUCACUCCUGCCAGAGCUGCCGUUCUGUCUCCGAACUGUUAAAAAGGGACAGAUAAACCCAGUCUGCCCGGCAGCGUUUGUUUGUGUCGUCUAUUUAUGAUUUAUAAGUCAUUCGCAUUAUUAAUUAUUCAGCUUUGGAGUAUCUUCAUAAUGGCAGGAGCCGUUCAUUUACAUUUUGUUAUCAUGUCGCAUGGCAAAUCCACUUAGCAAUUUGAGAAAACAAAAGUAAUUCAUGCUACUAUUAGCAAUCAGACUGACUUCAAGGAGUGGGAAUAGACAGCCCCUCUGCUGUCAUCCAGGAAGUGCACCUGGGGGGACAGUUUUCAGUCCGAGUUCCAGCGAGGGAGGUUGGGCCUUACCCCACUGCGGAUACCUGCCUUCCGCAGGCCCCCAGGUCUUCAAAAGGAGCCAAAAAGUCUGUGUCAGCCCACAUACCCUGGAGCCUGAAGACAUGUUGGGCCUCACCUACGCCUUGUUUGAGGACAUGGUUGCCAUGACUUUGGUGUCAGUUGGAGGUGAAUGGAUCCUCAAAGACAUUUCCAAAGACAAACACAGACAUAGGCACCUGAGUACAGCAACCAAACAGGCCUAUGAACGGUAUCAAUACGUCGGCAAGGAAACCAAUCUGCUGGCGUAUAUUGGAAAAAGUGCUGCAGAGGGACAGAUUGCCCCCGCCCCCAACUUUUCAUUUACCUUUGCCGACUUGCGCCAUCCGGCGCCGCCGAUGACUCCGUCCAGGUUACAUCGUGUUACCCGGACUGCGGGAAUGUAAAUGCAUGAAGAUGAAGCCUGGGCAAGGAAUCAUUAUUCUGCCCGUGUAUCACAUUGCAAAGACGACGCGGCUGGAAAGUUACAAUCCGGUGGCCUUCGCCAGAAAUAUGAGCCCAUUGUGUGUCGCGGCAC
rnacentral:lncRNA from 1 species